rnacentral:tRNA from 1 species
UCCAGGGUAACCUAAUGGACAUGGCAUCAGCCCGAUAAUCGGAACACUGUGGUUUCGAUUCCCAUCCCUGGAC